rnacentral:snoRNA from 1 species
GGUCUGAUGCCACGUCUCUGAUAGCUAUAUGCUCUGAUCAAAGAUGCUAUGAUUGGACCAAAAUUAAUAGUGUUUUUCAUUU